GGGUCAGAAUACCAGCAGCUUCUGCUCAGCAGUAGUUCAGCGCAAAAAUACAGAAAGUUUCAACUACACAGAUGCAUCUUGCCAGACUGUAUUGAAAGAAGAGGAGUCAAGCUUUGUACUUAACAAUGCAGCGGAGCGACCUUUAUCACAGGCCCAAUGGAGAAACGUUUACCUGAUGGACUUGGACCCGGUCAUCCCGCUGUUGGUGUGUAUGGUUUGUGGAGAGCAACAGUACUCGUUGAGUGUUGAAGGGGUAAAGGCUCACAUUGAAGAGGUUCAUCCCCACACACUGUCACUCGGAGACCUUGAACAUCGAGGGAUUCUUGAUGCCUGGGAUAAACAGGUGGCCUUACGAGAGCAUUUCAUCACUCAUCAGCUUCAACAGCAAUGAAGAACUUCUACAGGUAAUGGGGGAAUCUGGAUUCAAUUUGGAAAUAAUACAUUUUCUGAAAGUUAAGGUCGAGGCCAAGGACUUUGAGUGAAAUGGCAUAUUACAAACCGGGGAGGGAAAGACAAUGUUGACAUUUUCAUUUCACUCAAUUUAUUUUAUUCUGCUUUUAAAAAUGAGAAAUCCGCCAGGAAACAGCUAAUAGGCAUGUCUCAAGAAUCGAGACUGGGACCCAUCAAGCAUUUUGGGUAACUGAUCAAAACCAACUUUCUUAAAGGGUUAGUUUUCCCAAAUAUUUUAAAUCUGUUAUCAAUUGUGGUCACCUGACAAGGAAGAGAAGACAUUUGUGUACCAAUUAUUGUUACAGUUAAAUAAAAAAAUCUGACUCUGUAAAUUAACACUUCUCAAGAACACACAAAUGUGAAAGAUAUUGGUGUCUCCUCAGCCAAAAGGAGUUUAACAAUAAUAUAGGGCUGUGCAAUUAAUCGAAAAUCUGGUUUCGAUUUCGGCUUCUAACGAUUAUGAAAAAGCAUUAAUCGAGAUAAACGAUUAUUCCAUCAUAUACCGCCCCCUUUCCAGUUGUACACAGUUGUUGUUCUUCAAAGCUCAGCUUCACAUGAAAAUGACUAAAAGCAUGUACUGUAAUGUACUGUUUGCAGCACGGUAUGCUCAUCGUUCAUUGAUUCAUGUUUUUUAAAGCGCGAACGAGACCGCAUGCUUCUGUGUGUGCGCCGCAUUCGGUCUCAUUCGCACACUGAGACGAGUAGCACACACAUGUAAAGUCAUGUUAACGUGAGCGCUUUAAUGGUCAAAACGCGGUGUUUAGAGAUUAUUCAUAUUAACCCUUAUUUGUGUAAUAAACAAACGAGUUGAGAAUCAAAAGACAUGUGAAAGAGAAACCAUUAAAGUGACCGCAUAAUAUUCCUGCUGCCGUCUGUUUUCAUCAUUAUUAAUCAAACAACAAAAGGAGAAAAUCCCUCACUGCUCUUGACUGAAGGACUUUUGUAGCUAAAGUGUUUUUCUUAAAGUGAAGAUGCUUAAAGCACAGUUUGUUUUAUAUUUUUUUUCUAUUGUAUUUAUUUCUCUUUACUUUGCAGGGAGGAAAAUAACUGUAUAUAUACAGUUGAAGUCAAUUUCUUAGCCAUCCUGAAUUAUUAGCGACCCUUUUCCCCCAAUUUCUGUUUAAUAGAAAGAUUUUCUUCAACCCAUUUCUAUACAUAAUAGUUUUAAUAACUCAUUUCUAAUAACUGAUUUCUUUUAUUUUUGGUAUGAUGACGGCACAUAAUAUUUGACUAGAUAUUCUUCAAAAUACAAGCAGUCAGAUUCAAAGUGUAAUUCAAAGGCUUAAUUAGGGUAAUUGGGCAAGUCAUUGUAUAACAGUAGUUUCUGUUCCAGACAAUCAAAAAUAUUUAUUGCUUAAGGGGGCUAAUAAUAUUGACCUUAAAAUAGGUUUCAAAAUAUUUAAACCUGAUUUUAUUCUAAAAAUAAAACAAAUAAGCCUUUCUCCAGUAGAAAAAAUAUUAUAGGAAAUACUGUUCAAAUUCCUUGCUCUGGUAAACAUCAUUUGGGAAAUCUUUAUUUAAAAAAAAAAAUUCACAGGAGGGUGAAUUUGACUUCAACUGAUAAUCGUUUUGAAUAAUUGUGAUUACAAUUAUGACCAAAAUAAUCGUGAUUAUGAUUUUUCCCAAAAUCGAGCAGCCCUACAAUAAUAUAUACGUCCAUACAUGCACACAAAUCAUAGUCAAGUCUGCAUUUAUUCGUACCCCUGGCAAAUUCUUACUGCAAUUUUUUUUCCACAGUAAUGCCUCUUGUACAUCGUAUUAUUAUCAUCUUAAAAGAGAAGCCUGCUUCAUUUGCGGUGAAAAAAAAACACUUGCUGGUUGAAUAAAUGUAAUUUUGAGUCACAAUUUGCCUGGGGUAUGAAUCAUUUCGGACUUGACUGUACAUCAUAUAUCUGCACGACUAUAUGUAUAUUGAAUUGAUUUUAGUAACUUAAAUCUGAAGUGCGUGCCAACAUGCAUUCCUAUAGAAUAGACUAGGGCUGGCCGAUAAAAUCGGUAUUGAUAUUUAUUGACAGAACACCAUUGUCAAUAAUUAUUAAAAAAAAGGUUUGUUAUGAAGCGCUAUAGUUUUAUUAAAAUGUGGCUGCUGAGCACGCGCCUUGGAAGGAAUGCCAAUAAGCUUAGGGUGUAAGAUUGUCAUUUCCAAUGGAGGCGCGCGACUUGCACAACACAACAUUUUCCAGGUACACCUAGUUAAAAAAAACAUCUGAACUUUUCCAAAUUCCGUAAGCGCACCGCAAUUCAUGCAAGUAGAACUAUCCAAUCUGCUUCACACUUUGUGUGGAAUAUAAAUAUUUCAGUAAUAUCGGCUGACUAAUUACCUGAGACAAACACAGUGCCCACAAACACUACAGCGCUUUUUACUUUUCUCCAUAAACUUACAUAGGAGCUGCAGCAAUGGUUUUUCUGUUUGUCAUCCUCUGAGAAAACGGUUGAUGGUCGCCUAAUUAUGAGAGAUGCUAUAGAAAAAGGUGAAGGAAACCUCGUGCUUGUCACUUGAGGUCAGAAUAACAACACGUGAAAAUAAUUGCCCUAUAGCAGCAGUGAGGAGAUUGCAAAUAAAAAAGGCUGUAAGGAUGGCGCCAGGGUAGAUUUUGUUUCUAUUCUUGUGCAUCCCACUAGCCCUAGAUUUUUAAGCAUAGGGGGUAAUAUAGUCAUUUAAUUACACAAUUUGUUAUGUUGCAGUAUGUAUUUAAAAAUGACGGCUGGUUCCUUUACUUGAAAGCUCAGAUUUGAUUAUCAUUUGUUUUGUUUAAAAAGUUUGAGGUUUACUGUAUCAUUAUUAUUUACGCCUUACAGAUGUGGAUGUACCUUUACCAUUGCACACACUUUGUAACAUUUUAUUCAUGAAGUUUAAGAGUCUCUUUAAAACUUUUUUAUUAUAAAGAGAUCUGGUAUUUAGUUUAUUUUUGUUUUUGACUGUUAAAACUAUUUGCCUUUAGUAAUGUUGGUAAAUUAAAAUAAAAUGGUUAAAUAACAAAAAAUCCUAAUAUUCCUAAAUGGAUUGUUAAAAAUAUUCAAUAAUUAUCAAUAUCGAAUUUUUUAUAUAUA